UUGGAGGGCAAGUCUGGUGCCAGCAGCCGCGGUAAUUCCAGCUCCAAUAGCGUAUAUUAAAGUUGUUGCAGUUAAAAAGCUCGUAGUUGAAUUUCGGGAUCAAAUAAUCGGUCGUGCCUCCGGUACGUACUGGUUUUAUUGGUUCCUCCCUUCUGACGAACCAUGAUGUCAUUAAUUUGAUGUGGUGGAGAAUCAGGACUGUUACCUUGAAAAAAUUAGAGUGUUUAAAGCAGGCUAACGCUUGAAUACAUUAGCAUGGAAUAAUGAAAUAGGACGUUCGACCCUAUUUUGUUGGUUUCUAGGAUCGACGUAAUGAUUAAUAGGGAUAGUUGGGGGCAUUAGUAUUCAAUUGUCAGAGGUGAAAUUCUUGGAUUUAUUGAAGACUAACUACCGCGAAAGCAUUUGCCAAGGAUGUUUUCAUUAAUCAAGAACGAAAGUUAGGGGAUCGAAGACGAUCAGAUACCGUCGUAGUCUUAACCAUAAACUAUGCCGACUAGGGAUCGGACGAUGUUAAUUUUUUAAUGACUCGUUCGGCGCCUUACGGGAAAC
rnacentral:rRNA from 1 species